CACUGAAGGGUUGGCAGGGGACCAGAGAAUAGAGGAAGCAUUGUAGGUUCUAGAGUGGAGAAGGGACCAUCCAAAAUGGAGUUUGAAAGAGAAUUCUGGCCUUUGUGUUUAGAGUCUGGAAUUGUUAAGAGUCUGAAGGCACAGAAUAAGACUGCAGCUAGAGCAAUUUAGGCGCCAUAGUUUGUCAAAACAGGACUCUAGCCCUGAUCUGCUCUCUUCUGGGAGCAUCUGAUAGAACGAACAGAAACCCCUCUCCCACUGUCCUCCUGUGUCCAGAGUGGGAGGCAUAACUGCUUUGCCUCCAGUCGUCAUCUGGGGGCAUAUCUACUCUUCGAGGACCAGGGGUUCGGGACCCUGGAACAGGAUCUGAAUUCCAAGCUGACCUCAGGGGUACAUGAAGACUGCUAGAUGAGAUGGGAUCUCACUGUGCUGCCCAGGCUGGUCUCGAACUGCUGGACUCAAGUAAUCCUCCCAUCUUGGCCUCCCAAAGUGCUGGGAUUAUAGUGGACAACCUUGAAUGCACUGGUACUUUGUACCCUGACCUCUACUGUAAUGAAAACUCAACUUGGGCAAGGAAGUGAAAUUCUCCAAAGGAAUUAUUAAGAUAAGGACCAGCAGUACAAUGAGCUUUUCACUGUAUGUCUGACCUGAAAGAAGAAAAUCUUUUCAGAGGACUCCUCUCUCCCCUUCAGUCACCAAGACAAUGAGAGCUCUUGCUAUAGACUACUCAUGGUCAUUUCUUCCCCU
rnacentral:antisense_RNA from 1 species